CGGUUGAUCCUGCCGGACCCCACUGCUAUCGGGAUAGGACUAAGACAUGCUAGUUGAGCGCUUCCAGCCAACACGGAGGCGCAGCGCACAGCUCAGUAACACGUGGCUAAUCUGCCCUUGGGAUAGGAACAACCCCGGGAAACUGGGGCUAAUUCCCAAUAGGCGAAGAACUCUGGAAUGAGUCUUUACCAGAAAAGACGUUUACGUUAUGCUCGUAGGCGUCGCCCAAGGAUGAGGCCGCGACCGAUCAGGUUGUUGGUGAGGUAAUGGCUCACCAAGCCUUUUACCGGUGCGGGCCGUGAGAGCGGGAGCCCGGAGAUGGGCACUGAGACAAGGGCCCAGGCCCUACGGGGCGCAGCAGUCGCGAAAACUUUGCAAUACACGAAAGUGUGACAGGGCUAUCCCGAGUGCCAUCCGCUGAGGAAGGCUUUUACCCAGUCUAGAACGCUGGGGGAAUAAGGAGAGGGCAAGUCUGGUGUCAGCCGCCGCGGUAAUACCAGCUCUCCGAGUGGUGUGGAUGUUUAUUGGGCCUAAAGCAUCCGUAGCUGGCUGAGUUAGUCCCUUGUUAAAUCCACCGAAUUAAUCGUUGGAUUGCGGGGGAUACUGCUCGGCUAGGGGACGAGAGAGGCAGACGGUAUUUCUGGGGUAGGGGUGAAAUCCUAUAAUCCCAGGAGGACCACCAGUGGCGAAGGCUGUCUGCUAGAACGCGCCCGACGGUGAGGGAUGAAAGCCAGGGGAGCAAAGGGGAUUAGAUACCCCCGUAGUCCUGGCUGUAAACGAUGCGGGCUAGGUGUUGGGUUGGCUUCGUGCCAACCCGGUGCCGCAGCGAAGGCGAUAAGCCCGCCGCCUGGGAAGUACGGCUGCAAGGCUGAAACUUAAAGGA
rnacentral:rRNA from 1 species